GAUGAACGCUGGCGGCGUGCCUAAUACAUGCAAGUCGAGCGAACAGACGAGGAGCUUGCUCCUCUGACGUUAGCGGCGGACGGGUGAGUAACACGUGGAUAACCUACCUAUAAGACUGGGAUAACUUCGGGAAACCGGAGCUAUACCGGAUAAUAUAUUGAACCGCAUGGUUCAAUAGUGAAAGACGGUUUUGCUGUCACUUAUAGAUGGAUCCGCGCCGCAUUAGCUAGUUGGUAAGGUAACGGCUUACCAAGGCAACGAUGCGUAGCCGGCCUGAGAGGGUGAUCGGCCACACUGGGACUGAGACACGGUCCAGACUCCUACGGGAGGCAGCAGUAGGGAAUCUUCCGCAAUGGGCGAAAGCCUGACGGAGCAACGCCGCGUGAGUGAUGAAGGUCUUCGGAUCGUAAAACUCUGUUAUUAGGGAAGAACAAAUGUGUAAGUAACUAUGCACGUCUUGACGGUACCUAAUCAGAAAGCCACGGCUAACUACGUG
rnacentral:rRNA from 1 species